rnacentral:rRNA from 1 species
CGCGCAGGCGGGCUUGUAAGUCAGUGGUGAAAUACUGCCGCUCAACGGUAGAACUGCCAUUGAUACUGCAAGUCUUGAAUAUGGUUGAGGUAGGCGGAAUGUGUCGUGUAGCGGUGAAAUGCAUAGAUAUGACACAGAACGCCGAUUGCGAAGGCAGCUUACUAAGCCAUUAUUGACGCUGAGGCACGAAAGCGUGGGGAGCGAACAGGAUUAGAUACCCUGGUAGUC